CAGUCGCCGCGGUAAUACGAAGGGUGCAAGCGUUAAUCGGAAUUACUGGGCGUAAAGCGUGCGUAGGCGGUUUGUUAAGUCUGUUGUGAAAUCCCCGGGCUCAACCUGGGAACUGCAUUUGUGACUGGCAAGCUAGAGUGUGGCAGAGGGGGGUGGAAUUCCGCGUGUAGCAGUGAAAUGCGUAGAUAUGCGGAGGAACACCGAUGGCGAAGGCAAUCCCCUGGGCCUGCACUGACGCUCAUGCACGAGAGCGUGGGGAGCAAACAGGAUUAGAUACCCCCGUAGUCCCUGUCUCUUAUAC
rnacentral:rRNA from 1 species